UGAAAUUUUUUCCUAAAAUUUGGUGAUGAAC
rnacentral:piRNA from 1 species